GAUGAACGCUGGCGGCGUGCCUAAUACAUGCAAGUCGAGCGAACGGACGAGAAGCUUGCUUCUCUGAUGUUAGCGGCGGACGGGUGAGUAACACGUGGGUAACCUACCUAUAAGACUGGGAUAACUUCGGGAAACCGUAGCUAAUACCGGAUAAUAUUUUGAACCGCAUGGUUCAAAAGUGAAAGACGGUCUUGCUGUCACUUAUAGAUGGAUCCGCGCUGCAUUAGCUAGUUGGUAAGGUAACGGCUUACCAAGGCAACGAUGCAUAGCCGACCUGAGAGGGUGAUCGGCCACACUGGAACUGAGACACGGUCCAGACUACUACGGGAGGCAGCAGUAGGGAAUCUUCCGCAAUGGGCGAAAGCCUGACGGAGCAACGCCGCGUGAGUGAUGAAGGUCUUCGGAUCGUAAAACUCUGUUAUUAGGGAAGAACAUAUGUGUAAGUAACUGUGCACAUCUUGACGGUACCUAAUCAGAAAGCCACGGCUAACUACGUG
rnacentral:rRNA from 1 species